rnacentral:rRNA from 1 species
UACAGAGGGUGCGAGCGUUGUCCGGAAUCACUGGGCGUAAAGGGCGCGUAGGUGGCGCUGCAAGUCGGUGGUGAAAGCUCGUCGCUUAACGACGAGUCGGCCAUCGAAACUGCGGGGCUGGAGCACUGUAGGGGCAGAUGGAAUUCCGGGUGUAGCGGUGGAAUGCGUAGAGAUCCGGAAGAACACCGGUGGCGAAGGCGGUCUGCUGGGCAGUAGCUGACACUGAGGCGCGACAGCGUGGGGAGCAAACAGG